ensembl:lncRNA
AUGGACAAAAACAAUGUUCAGAAUGCAGUAAAUAUAGAGAAAAACCCAGCCUCUACUCAUGCUCCAACCAAUUUGAUUUGUGGAGUAAAUCUGAGACCAUCAUCUCUGAGGAGAACUAUACCUUCCACAGAUGACAAACAUGAGUCCAGGACCCUUCAGCCAGUCAGCACAGUGUCAGCUGUUAGUCACGAAGAUCACACUCAAACAGAAUCCAUAAAACGCCAAAGAACUGUGUCUGGUUCCUUCCACUUUAAUGUCCCCUCAGACAAGAGUCAAGAGCGGCCGAGGACUGCAAGCUUCACUGGAGUAGUUGGACAAGCUGGACUGAAAAAGGAACCUCCAUCUCCUGCCAUACCUCCUUUAAAUAUCAAGAUAGAGCAUCAAGUAAGUUCACAAGUCGAGAAAACAAUAAAAGGCCCAUCUGCUAACUUGCCACCGACUUCAAAGAAGGAAGACAAAACGGACCAUUCUCCAGUGAUACCAACAAAGUUCACUGAUCUAGCAAAGAGCCGUCCUCAGGCCCCGGAUGUGGAGGAGAGUCAGGACAACGAGAAGCAGGAGAUUGGGGUAGAGGCUACUGAAGAAGGAGUACAGGAGGUGGAGGUGGCAGAAGAGGCAGUUGAGGAUGUGAUGGAAGAUGUGACUGUGGGAAAAGAGAGAGAGGCUACAAAUGCAUUCGGAGUGAAGCUUCGCUCUACCUCUCUUUCGCUAAAGUUUCGCUUGGACAAAGCUCAAUCAGAAGACAGAGUUAAACACCACAGUGCAUCGAUUUCACCUGCGGCCUCACAAUCUGAUUCAUCCAGCUAUGUGCAACCUGAAGACCAUUCCUCCGGUUUGCCACCUAAGAAUUUCUGUAGAGACAAAGACAGAGCUGGCGUCCUCAGACAGGCUGAACCUCCUCAGCCCUCAUCAUCAGCCAGCAAAUCUACUAAGAUUGUACCUUCACCAGCUAAAGAAGGUACAGGCUUGCCUCCAGAAGAGACUACAGCGGUAUCCUUUCAGGAGAACCCACCAGCAUCUACUGCUUCAGAGGUGUCCUGGAUGGAGAUGGCCAGAGAGAAGACCAGAAGUCUCCAGCAGCUCUUUACCAGUAGACUGCCUGAGUUUCCUAGCUUGCAAUCUCGAUCAACAACCUUGACUACAACACAACCACAAACCCAAACAUCCACUUCACAAGCCAACCCAAGAAUCACACAGAACAUUUCAAGCCAGCCGACGACUACACAACCUAUUUUGAGACCUACAGAAACAAAACCGCUGCCAUCUCCACAGCAUUCUGGAAAAUCCACACAAUCUGCCACUCAGUUGAUGCAAACUCAGACUAGAACAACAACAAACCAAACUUCAGCAAAUUCAAAUCAGACUCAGACUGACAGUACCAGAGAAGUCCAGUUUCAGUCCAACACUCAAAUGUUUAAUUCAACAACAAAACCAACCCAGUCUACAGUAACAUGCACAUUGAAUGUGCAAACCACUGCAGUAAACACAGCAAAUCAGCCAUCACAAGCAUUGGCACCACAGACACCACCCAUCCAGCCAUCAUCACCACUGCGAGCAGCAUCACAGACCCCCACACAAGCUAUACUGCGUACCACAGCACCCCCAGGUUACCCAUAUCUGUCGUCAAGCCCAAAGUUAACGUCCCAACAGUCUGCCAAUACUGUCUCAAAGGAUCAGCCUCAGAAUGAGGGGGGAGAGCCCAGUGUAAUCUCAGGGAAAGCUGACAGGGCGUCUGCGUCUCAGGGGAUAGGGACCGGGCCUGAAGAUGGCAGACCAGUGUGGGCAGCAGGAUUAGGAAACAAGACCUCGCUCUUACAGCGCUGGGAGAACCAAACAACUGCUACAACCAAGACAGGUGAGUCGAAGUCCACAGCAGAGUCCCAAACCACAUCUCAAUCUACAGCUCCUCUCAGACCGAUCUCAAAGCUCUCAGGCACAGGAUUCGACUCAAGUUUGCCAAUGCAAGCAUCAGUCUCUCCUGUUCCCACGAGGUCAGCAGACAGAGAGGAUAAAUGGCAGCAGCAAUCAGAGCCACCAUCAUCGCCUUCAUCAUCACCUUCAUCAUCAUCUCCUCUGCAGUCUGUCCGUGACGCUGCCCAACCAUCCUGGAUGGAGCUGGCCAAGAGGAAAUCCCUGGCAUGGAGUGAUAAGACUAUGGACUAA